CUUCACUGCAACUUCUCUGCCAUCCGUCAACCUGCCGUAGUACACGGGGCCGAAGCCUCCUCUCCCGAUCACCUUCUUGUAGUUGGCCGUUGCAGCAACGAUCUCGUCGGGAGAGAAUUUUCGGGCACCUGUGGUCAUAGAUUGUAAGUGCCUGCUUCCAUCUUCCAGCUAUAUUGCUGCGUGAGAGUAAAUGAGUCGUUGACCAACAGCUGCACGCGGUACAAUUCAUCGCUGCUUUAGGGUGUAGGGUGUGAGAUAAAGCUAACAACUGACCUCCAUGAAUGUUUGAAGUUAGGUUGAUGUUGAUCUCCUUGCUUACAAUGUUUGGAUUCGAAUUUCCAACUAUUAGGGUGUCCAUAUCUUUUGCAGGACGACGAUUUCGACGGCAAACUAAGUAGUACACAAGAGCAACCACGAUCGCCACAAAUGCCACUCCUCCUGCCACUCCACCUACAAUGGCUGCAGUAUUGGUUGAAGGCGAUGCUGGCAGUGUCGCAUUCAAGAGCG
rnacentral:lncRNA from 1 species